AGCAACCUGCCCUUCANAGGGGGACAACAGUUGGAAACGACUGCUAAUACCGCAUAACAUAUCCGGGAGGCAUCUCCUGGAUAUCAAAGAUUUAUCGCUGAAGGAUGGGCUCAUGUCUGAUUAGCUAGUUGGUGGGGUAACGGCCCACCAAGGCUGCGAUCAGUAGCCGGUCUGAGAGGAUGAACGGCCACAUUGGGACUGAGAUACGGCCCAGACUCCUACGGAAGGCAGCAG
rnacentral:rRNA from 1 species